CAGCAGCCGCGGUAAUACAGAGGAUGCAAGCGUUAUCCGGAAUGAUUGGGCGUAAAGCGUCUGUAGGUGGCUUUUCAAGUCCGCCGUCAAAUCCCAGGGCUCAACCCUGGACAGGCGGUGGAAACUACCAAGCUGGAGUACGGUAGGGGCAGAGGGAAUUUCCGGUGGAGCGGUGAAACGCGUUGAGAUCGGAAGGAACACCAACGGCGAAAGCACUCUGCUGGGCCGACACUGACACUGAGAGACGAAAGCUAGGGGAGCAAAUGGGAUUAGAUACCCUGUAGUCCCUGUCUCUUAUACA
rnacentral:rRNA from 1 species